UGAAUUCAACUAUACUAUGCCUCAAUUCC
rnacentral:piRNA from 1 species